rnacentral:lncRNA from 1 species
ACUGUGAGGUGCUGGGUGGCCACCGCUCCUCCCUGCUCCCCUAGCCUUCCAAACCAAGCCUACAGACUAUUUUUCUGCACUGUUCAACCUCUUGGUACAAGCAGAGUUUGAGUUGCUGCCCUCCCAAGUUAGCCCUCUGCUGGAGCUUUGGCAAAGAACACAAGGAUUGCUUAAAAUUCAGUAAGUGCAGGAGUUCCCUGGUGGCUGAGUGGGUUAAGGAUCAGCAGGUGUUUUCACUGCUGUGGUGCAGGUUUGAUCACUGGCCCAGGAACUUCUGUAUGCUGCAGGAGCAGCCAAUAAGUAAGUAAGUAAGUAAAUAAAUAAAUAGAUAUUUUAAAGUAAGCUUUUAAUAUAUCCCUAUAUUUGUAUAGGGCAUAGCUUCCUGUUUGAAAACUAUUUGCAUAGUUCUCUAAGUUUCUAAGAUUCAACUGCUUUUUUGGUUUAUGGAAUUGAGAUUAACCAUGAUACAUUUACAUGGUGUCAAUUAUCUGAAAUGUAGGCAUUCACCCAAUUCAUCCAUCUAUCCAUUCAUUUAUUCACCUAUCCAUCCACCCAUCCAAUAAUUUUAAAGUCCCUAUAAGUAACUCAUCAGUCUUUAUAGCACUGAAGUUGAGAGAGAAUCCACAGUAAUUAAGAGAUGAUAAAUGUCACACAGAUCCCUGUUGCUUAUUAAGCAACUGAAAAUAGAAAAGCUCAGAGGAGAAUGAUCUGUGUGAAAGUUAAAGAUUCUUCCAUGGAGUGAUUUUACCAACCAUAUGCAUCUGCAAAAUAUAGAAAGCCAAGCCCAGGCAAGAUAAGCUCAUUCUGUGCUCAGGACCUGCUAAUUGGCUUCACAUGUAUGUGGAUGGAACCCUCAUGGGGCUAGAUUCCCAUAUGGGGAGAGAAAUGAGAUAAUUCACUGAAAGAUAUGUCUGAGUCAGACUGAGGGAACUGUUAUGAACUGGGCUGUGGCUAUAAUCAGCGUUAGUGCGAGGAUGACACUUUAGGGAGAUAUUGAUGGUCAAGAUGCGUUGAGUUUGAAUGCUGUUUUUCCAUUUCCUAAGUAUGACCUUGGGCUGUUUGUUCACAUUAUUUAUUCAGUAAAUAUUUAUCGAGCCCUGUUAUGCACCAGGCAUGGUGUGAGGUGAUGGAAAUUCUCUUGCCCUCACAGUAUAACACAGUAUAACUCAAACAUUUUUUGAGCUUCACUUUCCUAAUCGUAACAAUAGCUAUCCUUCAGAAUUGUGUGGAGUUACGUACAAGGCCUAUCUGAUUAGCUACUGAAUGGGACUUUUCUUAUUGUCUCAGGACUGGCAACUUGGUUACAAAGUGGGGGGCAAAUAGAUGAUAAUUAGAGGACACAUAGAUGAUUAGGAUUUAUUAAGAGGCAAAUUCAUUUUCUGCCCCAGUUAUCACUCCCUACUCGUUAAUCUCAUCUGAGAAAAGUGCUGAGCUUCAGAAAGAGUUCCAUAUCUUCUACUCUUGGAGAGUGCUCCUUCUAAAAUAAGCCAAUGGGCUGCCCCAAGAGAAUUAUCUGUAGAGACUGGGGAGGGGGUACCAGCAGGCAGUCGAGCCUGGAAUCUCAUUUUUUAGUUGGAUACCCGCUUAUGCGAUGAAUGAAUUUGCUAAACUGUACUUUUUGUCUAUCUAAGCAAUGGGAAAGAGAUUUAGGGAGAGAACUCAGUGUAGAGAAAAUGAGCAGUAGGGGGAUAGGCCACACUCCCAUUAUCUGACAGGAAAAAGGUGCAUGAGUCUUGUGUAGAUCAAGUGGAUGCCAUGGAAAUCUUGAAUUAUUGUGAUGGAACCCUAUCCUAAAGUGUGACUAAGAGAAAAGACCCAGCAGGGAAAGUUUGUAGGGUGGAUUAUAUAAGGGUGGGAUUUGAGGGAGAUUGGAAAAUGUCCACUGGAGCUGAUUUCCUAUAAGAGGUGGCCAUGCAGUGAAGAGGCUGCCAAAGAACCUUCCAGAGAAUCCUCAGGUGUCUCCCAAGAGGUGUGAUAUUGGGAUGGUUGCCAUGGGGGAGGGCAGAGAUCAUAAUGGCAAUGAUAAGGAAAAACAUUUCUGCUCCCUUUGAGAAUUCUGUCUUCCUCUCUUUAACACAGCAAAGGACUCAGAAGUUGUGUGUGGGACAGGGGUGGGGGUGUAGGCUGGGGGGAAGCAUCUAGAGAUGCCCCUUCUCCUUGCCCACAUUCAUACCUCAGGGCUGUUCCUGGGUCUAGGGAAGAAGAUGGACAUUUAAAUCGGAUGAAAAAUGGACAUAGAAGGCACUGGAGUAUAUCUUUUACAACCUGAAAAGGUCAGAAAACUGGCAUCUGCUGGAGGUGCCAUAAAGUCUUGGGAAGGGGCGAUGCAGUGGAGCAUGUUUUAAAGCAGUAAUUGAAGAAAAAUAAAACCCUAUGGAGUUUGAACCCUGCUGAGUUCACAGUGUUCAAUAAACUGCUGACAAAUGUGAAGUGCUUAGCAAACAGUCAGUGCUUCACAAAUGGAAGGUAUCAUUACUCCUAGUCACCUGAAGAAAAUAAAUAUUCAGAAAAUGUCCACAUGUUUUAAUAUCAAAGAGCAAGUAAGAUGCUCAAUUUGGAUUUUUGCUUUAGGAGAAAGCAUAAUGUUGUGUUCAUUAUGUCCUCAUGUUUCUGUUUUUGUCAUGAAGGGCUUCUCAGAAUGUUUUCUGGGCUGUUUCACCACAUUCCUUUUGCUAUUUUAGGCAUUUACCAUUUUUGUCAUUUCAUAGACACCCCACCCACCCCCCUACCCCACCCCCCGCCCUCAGGGAAUGAGAAAAUCAUAAAGGUGCUCUAUCCCCAAGCUCCAACUUAGAUGAAGAUAAAAUCCUAUUUAAUUAUUGGAAAAAUACUUCAAGUUCUUAAAAACAAAGUAUCUUGUGUAGGUGUGCAAUAAAGCAGUUUCUGCAGAUUCAGUACACAGAGAGGAGACUGAGAGUCCUGACGUAGUGAAGCAGAAGGACAAGGACACUGGGGUUGGCCCAGAAGACGCUAAUGACUUCCAGCAAUGUGACACUUAUGUGUGUGCUAUUCAACCCCAUUUAGCGUCCAUUUCUUCAACUAUCCAAUGGGGGGUUUAUCAAGGACCACACAAAUGAUUUAAAUGAGCUGAUUCUGUAAAGCAUGUAGCCCAGUGCUAGGCACAAUUUGAUGCUCAAGAGAAAACUGUUUUCCCCUUUCCAAGGUUGCAGGGUAAGUAGAAAUAGUGGGUGGUUCAGUGGAAAGAGAGCUACUGGGAAGGGAGUAUCUGAAAAAAUUUACUGAAUAUUCACUUGCCAAUUAAGCCAACUAGAGCUGGUGACAGUUUAAAUGGCACUAUUAAGAAGAGUCACAGAAAAUCAUGAUGACACCAUUGGAGCAGAGUGAGGUACUGGUAUUUUUAUAUUUAUUUUAUAAUGUAUUAAUAUCCUGAUAU